rnacentral:rRNA from 1 species
GAUGAACGCUGGCGGCGUGCCUAAUACAUGCAAGUCGAGCGAACAGACGAGGAGCUUGCUCCUUUGACGUUAGCGGCGGACGGGUGAGUAACACGUGGGUAACCUACCUAUAAGACUGGGAUAACUUCGGGAAACCGGAGCUAAUACCGGAUAAUAUUUCGAACCGCAUGGUUCGAUAGUGAAAGAUGGCUUUGCUAUCACUUAUAGAUGGACCUGCGCCGUAUUAGCUAGUUGGUAAGGUAACGGCUUACCAAGGCAACGAUACGUAGCCGACCUGAGAGGGUGAUCGGCCGCACUGGAACUGAGACACGGUCCAGACUCCUACGGGAGGCAGCAGUAGGGAAUCUUCCGCAAUGGGCGAAAGCCUGACGGAGCAACGCCGCGUGAGUGAUGAAGGUCUUCGGAUCGUAAAACUCUGUUAUUAGGGAAGAACAAACGUGUAAGUAACUGUGCACGUCUUGACGGUACCUAAUCAGAAAGCCACGGCUAACUACGUG